rnacentral:rRNA from 1 species
GAUGAACGCUGGCGGCGUGCCUAAUACAUGCAAGUCGAGCGAACAGACGAGGAGCUUGCUCCUCUGACGUUAGCGGCGGACGGGUGAGUAACACGUGGAUAACCUACCUAUAAGACUGGGAUAACUUCGGGAAACCGGAGCUAAUACCGGAUAAUAUAUUGAACCGCAUGGUUCAAUAGUGAAAGACGGUUUUGCCGUCACUUAUAGAUGGAUCCGCGCCGCAUUAGCUAGUUGGUAAGGUAACGGCUUACCAAGGCAACGAUGCGUAGCCGACCUGAGAGGGUGAUCGGCCACACUGGAACUGAGACACGGUCCAGACUCCUACGGGAGGCAGCAGUAGGGAAUCUUCCGCAAUGGGCGAAAGCUUGACGGGGCAACGCCGCGUGAGUGAUGAAGGUCUUCGGAUCGUAAAACUCUGUUAUUAGGGAAGAACAAAUGUGUAAGUAACUAUGCACGUCUUGACGGUACCUAAUCAGAAAGCCACGGCUAACUACGUG